CUGAGAUUUACUUUGGUCCUUUAUAAUCGCACUGUGCUGAGCUUUGUAUCGGAGUUCAGCCUGAAUAAGCAGUCAAACAUUUCUUAAGGCUCCCAGCGGGUUUCUUUGAGUGAAUGAUACUGGAUCUCCACAUGGAAGACUCCAUCAUGGUUACAGAAUGGAAGGGCAUCUUUAAUCACAGCAUGUCCAUCCAUUAUUGAGCCCCAGAGAAGAUGACAUCAUGUCGCAUUGAUGAAGUGGGGAGCUGUUACGUCUGCUGCCACCAGAGAUGCUGUUGAUCCAAAAGAAGAAAAAAAAGACAUUUGAAGGAGGAC
ensembl:lncRNA